ACGCACGCUGGCGGCAUGCCUAACACCUGCCAGUCGAACGAGACCUUCGGGUCUAGUGGCGCACGGGUGCGUAACGCGUGGGAACCUGCCCUUAGGUUCGGAAUAACUCCCCGCAAGGGGUGCUAAUACCGGAUAAUGUCUUCGGACCAAAGAUUUAUCGCCUUUGGAUGGGCCCGCGUUGGAUUAGCUAGUUGGUAGGGUAAAAGCCUACCAAGGCGACGAUCCAUAGCUGGUCUGAGAGGAUGAUCAGCCACACUGGGACUGAGACACGGCCCAGACUCCUACGGGAGGCAGCAGUGGGGAAUAUUGGACAAUGGGCGAAAGCCUGAUCCAGCAAUGCCGCGUGAGUGAUGAAGGCCUUAGGGUUGUAAAGCUCUUUUACCCGGGAUGAUAAUGACAGUACCGGGAGAAUAAGCUCCGGCUAACUCCGUG
rnacentral:rRNA from 1 species